GGAGGUAAGGUUACUGAGUGGGUGGGGCCAGCGGCUUUGUUAGUAAGGAUGGGGGAUGAUGAUUUAAGGGGAAGGAUGGAGAGAUUUUGGGGAUUUUGAUCGACAGAGGCAACAAGAAUUGAAGAGUUUGGCUUGGGCACAGAGUUCAAGGUGGGAGAUUUAGAUCUAGUUUCUUGAACAGUAGUAACAUAUUUUUGAUUUUCUGCAGUUGAGUUCAUAAAGUAAGCUUGAGCUUCAUUUGUAAUAGUUGAGGGGUCAUGUGGUCCUGAGACAACAGCAGUUUGACGGGUAGAAGAUGAACUACAUCGGAAAGAAAAACCUCUAGUUGAUGGUUUUGGGAGAUUGGAUAGAGGGGGGAAGUUGACUGGUGAGAGGGGGGGAAGAAGGGUCAGGAGGGGAAGGAAUGUGGCUAGGCAGUGGGGAAAAGCUGAGAUGAUGUUGCUAUUGACAAGUAGUCUAUCAAGCUUUUUGGCUAUAGGAUUUUCAGGCUGAUUAUUUGUCCAAGAAUGGGAAGGGCUGAGAUAACGAAGGUCAAACACUCCGAGUUGCAUGAAGCAAUCUUGCAACUGAUACAUAAGGCUGUCUGGUACGGUGGUGCCAGGGUUGGAAUGCUCAGUAGGAUAGAUAAUCUGGUUAAAAUCACCACCUAUGAUCCAGUUUUUAUCUUCGAAGCCCAAAGUAUCAUGUAGAUUCAGAAGGUCAGCCCAGAGGUCCACGCGUUCUGAUCUAAGGUUGGACGUAUAUACAGCACCAUCUAGAGCCAUAGGGUCAGUAAGAGGGGGGAUGAGGGUUUUAAUGGGAAGGGUAGGGGUUUUAGUAGGCAAGGGAGAAGGAGUGGGAGAUGGGGGGAUAGUUAAGGCGGGUGUGGUUGAGGGAUUGUUCUGUUUUGGUUGAUAUCUAGCUUGUAGCUUACCCCUCUGCUUACGCGUCUGCUGAUCUUGUUUAUUUUCUGUGUUUUGAUCAGGUGGAGGGUAUGUAAGACAGUUCCUGACGAUAUGACCUAGUUCCUUACAGUGGGAACAGGUGGGAGGGACCCAGGGGUAGUGAACAAGUACUUCUACCACCUCACCACUCUGUCUCUCAAACUCUACAACCGGAGGAAGAGGCUUUGUAAGGUCAACUUCUACUUUUACAUGAGCCACUGUAAGACUUACAAGGUUCUUAGUGAAAUCGUCAGUCUCCUUAGGUUCACCUACAAGACCAGCCACAAGGCUUAAACCUUUAUCAUAUCGGAGGUUUAGAGGCACACCAGUCAAGUGAGCCCAUAUCUGAAUGGCUUUGAGAGGAGGAGUAGACAUGGAGUGCGCAGAACACCAUUGAACUGUGUGGAACAUGGAGUCUCCCACAUGCCAAAUACAUUUCUCCAAGAUCUUCUUUCUCAGGUAAUCACUCGAUAUCCUUACAAUAACUAAACGAUUCAGGGGGUUAUUAUGAAUUUCUAACCUCUUGCCUUUACCCCACAUGUAGUUAAAGACACUUUGAAUCUGGCUGAAAGGUGGAGACUUGCCAUUGAAGUAACAUAUGAUAAAGUCUUAUGGAUCUCUGCACCUUUAUGGAAAACUUCAUCAGGUAUAAUGAUACGAGGUCUACCAUUUUCAGAGAAAGAGACUGGCGCUAGGCGCUUGAGUGAUUUAUCUUCAGACGCUCUCAACCUUUCUACCAGUGACGGAGAAGGAGGGGGUUCGUGGGCAUGGGAGAUAGAAACAAGGGGUGGGGGAUUUUGGGAGGGUGAUGGGCCUAUAGCCUGAGACAGUAACAAAGUCUCAGUUGAAGUAACAAUGGGGGGAGGUAAGGUUACUGAGUGGGUGGGGCCAGCGGCUUUGUUAGUAAGGAUGGGGGAUGAUGAUUUAAGGGGAAGGAUGGAGAGAUUUUGGGGAUUUUGAUCGACAGAGGCAACAAGAAUUGAAGAGUUUGGCUUGGGCACAGAGUUCAAGGUGGGAGAUUUAGAUCUAGUUUCUUGAACAGUAGUAACAUAUUUUUGAUUUUCUGCAGUUGAGUUCAUAAAGUAAGCUUGAGCUUCAUUUGUAAUAGUUGAGGGGUCAUGUGGUCCUGAGACAACAGCAGUUUGACGGGUAGAAGAUGAACUACAUCGGAAAGAAAAACCUCUAGUUGAUGGUUUUGGGAGAUUGGAUAGAGGGGGGAAGUUGACUGGUGAGAGGGGGGGAAGAAGGGUCAGGAGGGUCGGGAGGGAUGAGGGAAGGGGGUUCACCAAGCUUGAACGAUGGCGGUUGCGCGGCAGAAGGGCGGUCAGGGAGCUUCCAUUUGCUCUGCAUCGAUAACCGAGUCAGGGAGAGAUUAACUUUUUUUAUGUAUUGUCUAUCAUAUUACUAUGAAAUGAAAAAGGUU
rnacentral:lncRNA from 1 species